rnacentral:misc_RNA from 1 species
GAUGAAGAACGCAGCGAAAUGCGAUAAGUAAUGUGAAUUGCAGAAUUCAGUGAAUCAUCGAAUCUUUGAACGCACAUUGCGCCCGCCAGUAUUCUGGCGGGCAUGCCUGUUCGAGCGUCAUUUCAACCAUCAAGCCCCCCGGCUUGUGUUGGGGACCUGCGGCUGCCGCAGGCCCUGAAAAGCAGUGGCGGGCUCGCUGUCACACCGAGCGUAGUAGCAUACAUCUCGCUCUGGGCGUGCUGCGGGUUCCGGCCGUUAAACCACCUUCAUAACCCAAGGUUGACCUCGGAUCAGGUAGGAAGAUCCGCUGAACUUAAGCAUAUCAAUAAGCGGAGGA